CCUACGGGAGGCAGCAGUAGGGAAUAUUGGUCAAUGGGCGAAAGCCUGAAGCAGCAAAGUAGCGUGAAGGAUGACUGCCCUACGGUUGUUAAACUUCUUUUAUAAAGAAAUAAAGUGCGGCACGUGUGCCUUUUUGUAUGGACUUUAUGAAUAAGGCUCGGGUAACUCCGUGCGGGCAGCAGCGGUAAUACGGAGGCUCCGAGCGUUAUGCGGAUUUAUUGGGGUUAAAGAGAGCGUCGAGGGGAUGUUAAGUCAGUUGUGAAAGUUUGCGGCUUAACCGUAAAAUUGCAAUUGAGACUGGCAGUCUGGAGUAUAGUUGAGGUAGGUGGAAGUCGUGGUGUAGGGGUGAAAUGCUUAGAUAUCAAGAAGAACUCUGAUUGCGAAGGC
rnacentral:rRNA from 1 species